GGAUUGCACUCUGCAACUCGAGUGCAUGAAGUUGGAAUCGCUAGUAAUCGCAGAUCAGCAUGCUGCGGUGAAUACGUUCCCGGGUCUUGUACACACCGCCCGUCACACCAUGGGAGUUGGUUUUACCCGAAGGCGCUGCGCUAACCGCAAGGGGGCAGGCGACCACGGUAGGGUCAGCGACUGGGGUGAAGUCGUAACAAGGUAGCCGUAGGGGAACCUGCGGCUGGAUCACCUCCUUUCUAAGG
rnacentral:rRNA from 1 species